CCACCUACACAUGCCACAUGAAGGGCAUUUCUACUCUUCUCAUCUUUUAGUGUAAGAUCAGCUCCCUUUGACACGAGCAGGUCGACAACAUCCUUCUUCCCAUGAAAAGCUGCUACCAUCAAAGGUGUCCAACCCUCUUGUCCCCGACAAUUGAUGUCAAACAGUGGAAGCAGAUCUUCUACAAUGCCACUAUUUCCACCCUGACAUGCCAGAUGAAGGGCAUUUCUACUCUUCUCAUCUUUUAGUGUAAGAUCAGCUGCC